AACGCAGCUAACGCGUGAAGUAGACCGCCUGGGGAGUACGGUCGCAAGAUUAAAACUCAAAGGAAUUGACGGGGACCCGCACAAGCGGUGGAUGAUGUGGAUUAAUUCGAUGCAACGCGAAAAACCUUACCUACCCUUGACAUGGCAGAGAUCCCGGAGAGAUUUGGGAGUGCUCGAAAGAGAAUCUGCACACAGGUGCUGCAUGGCUGUCGUCAGCUCGUGUCGUGAGAUGUUGGGUUAAGUCCCGCAACGAGCGCAACCCUUGUCAUUAGUUGCUACGAAAGGGCACUCUAAUGAGACUGCCGGUGACAAACCGGAGGAAGGUGGGGAUGACGUCAAGUCCUCAUGGCCCUUAUGGGUAGGGCUUCACACGUCAUACAAUGGUACAUACAGAGGGCCGCCAACCCGCGAGGGGGAGCUAAUCCCAGAAAGUGUAUCGUAGUCCGGAUUGUAGUCUGCAACUCGACUGCAUGAAGUUGGAAUCGCUAGUAAUCGCGGAUCAGCAUGUCGCGGUGAAUACGUUCCCGGGUCUUGUACACACCGCCCGUCACACCAUGGGAGCGGGUUUUACCAGAAGUAGGUAGCUUAACCGCAAGGAGGGCGCUUACCACGGUAGGAUUCGUGACUGGGGUGAAGUCGUAACAAGGUAACC
rnacentral:rRNA from 1 species